rnacentral:rRNA from 1 species
GAUGAACGCUGGCGGCGUGCCUAAUACAUGCAAGUCGAGCGAACGGACGAGAAGCUUGCUUCUCUGAUGUUAGCGGCGGACGGGUGAGUAACACGUGGAUAACCUACCUAUAAGACUGGGAUAACUUCGGGAAACCGGAGCUAAUACCGGAUAAUAUUUUGAACCGCAUGGUUCAAAAGUGAAAGACGGUCUUGCUGUCACUUAUAGAUGGAUCCGCGCUGCAUUAGCUAGUUGGUAAGGUAACGGCUUACCAAGGCAACGAUGCAUAGCCGACCUGAGAGGGUGAUCGGCAACACUGGAACUGAGACACGGUCCAGACUCCUACGGGAGGCAGCAGUAGGGAAUCUUCCGCAAUGGGCGAAAGCCUGACGGAGCAACGCCGCGUGAGUGAUGAAGGUCUUCGGAUCGUAAAACUCUGUUAUUAGGGAAGAACAUAUGUGUAAGUAACUGUGCACAUCUUGACGGUACCUGAUCAGAAAGCCACGGCUAACUACGUG